CCUACGGGAGGCAGCAGUGAGGAAUAUUGGUCAAUGGCCGGAAGGCUGAACCAGCCAUGCCGCGUGAAGGUCAGUGCCCUAUGGGCGUUAAACUUCUUUUGUGCGGGAGCAAUAAUGGUCACGUGUGGCCAGACGAGAGUACCGUACGAAUAAGCAUCGGCUAACUCCGGGCCAGCAGCUGCGGUAAUACGGGGGAUGCAAGCGGUAUCCGGAUUUAUUGGGUUUUAAGGGUGCGGAGGGUGUGAGGUAAGUCAGCGGUGAAAUGCACCCGCUCAACGGGGUGAAGGGCCAUGGAUACUGUCUAGCUGGAAUGCGGAUGCCGUGGGAGGAAUGUGUGGUGUAGCGGUGAAAUGCAUAGAUAUCACACAGAACACCGAUUGCGAAGGCAUCUCACGAAUCCGCGAUUGACGCUGAUGCACGAAAGCGUGGGUAUCAAACAGGAUUAGAUACCCUAGUAGUC
rnacentral:rRNA from 1 species